UAGGGAAUCUUCCGCAAUGGGCGAAAGCUUGACGGAGCAACGCCGCGUGAGUGAUGAAGGUCUUCGGAUCGUAAAACUCUGUUAUUAGGGAAGAACAAAUGUGUAAGUAACUAUGCACGUCUUGACGGUACCUAAUCAGAAAGCCACGGCUAACUACGUGCCAGCAGCCGCGGUAAUACGUAGGUGGCAAGCGUUAUCCGGAAUUAUUGGGCGUAAAGCGCGCGUAGGCGGUUUUUUAAGUCUGAUGUGAAAGCCCACGGCUCAACCGUGGAGGGUCAUUGGAAACUGGAAAACUUGAGUGCAGAAGAGGAAAGUGGAAUUCCAUGUGUAGCGGUGAAAUGCGCAGAGAUAUGGAGGAACACCAGUGGCGAAGGCGACUUUCUGGCCUGUAACUGACGCUGAUGUGCGAAAGCGUGGGGAUCAAACAGG
rnacentral:rRNA from 1 species